rnacentral:tRNA from 1 species
AAAUAAGAAGCAAUAAUGCAUUUAGUUUCGACCUAAAGAUUUGAUUAUAAAUAAUCCUUAUUU